UGGUUCACGGGAACCUCGGUUUCAUUAUCAAGUGGAUGUACACACGAAUCUAUAAAAUCUGUAUCCGUACAUAUGUACGUAUGUGUAAUUUUUUUUUUUCCUUCCCAUUUUGCACCAUUAAUUUGAAGAAGAACCAGAAUUUGAUUACAGAGAUAGGGCAGUGCCGAAAAUGGGGUCGGAGAAUGAUUAUCAGAUGAAUGUGGUGAAGGGGGAGUUCGGAUACGUACUCGAAGAUGUCCCUCAUUUCGCCGAUUACAUCCCCGAUCUCCCUACUUAUCCUAAUCCACUACGAUCCAAUCCUGCAUAUUCAGUUGUUAAGCAGUACUUCGUUGACAUGGAUGACACUGUCCCCCAAAAGAUUGUUGUUCACAAGGACACUCCAAGAGGGGUACAUUUUCGACGAGCUGGACCUCGCCAAAAGGUAUAUUUUGCAUCAGAUGAGGUGCAAGCUUGUAUUGUGACAUGUGGUGGUUUAUGUCCUGGGCUAAACACAGUAAUCAGGGAAAUUGUACAUAGCCUUGAUUGCAUGUAUGGUGUCAACAAAGUCCUUGGAAUUGAUGGAGGCUAUAGGGGCUUUUAUUCAAAAAAUACCAUUACUUUAACUCCAAAGUCUGUUAAUGACAUACAUAAACGUGGUGGGACAAUCCUGGGAACAUCUCGAGGUGGCCAUGAUACCAUGAAGAUUGUUGACAGCAUUCAGGAUCGUGGAAUUAAUCAGGUUUAUAUAAUUGGUGGAGAUGGAACUCAGAAAGGAGCUGCUGUAAUCUAUGAGGAAAUCAGAAAGCGUGGUCUAAAGGUUGUCGUUGCUGGUAUCCCCAAGACAAUUGACAAUGACAUUCCGGUCAUUGACAAGUCAUUUGGUUUUGAUACUGCUGUAGAGGAGGCUCAACGUGCCAUCAAUGCUGCACAUGUUGAAGCUGAGAGUGCAGAUAAUGGCAUUGGUGUGGUGAAGCUAAUGGGUCGCUACAGUGGAUUUAUUGCAAUGUAUGCUACUCUGGCUAGCCGAGAUGUUGACUGCUGUUUGAUUCCGGAAUCACCCUUCUAUCUUGAAGGAGAAGGUGGACUUUUUGAAUACAUAGAGAGAUGUCUCAAAGAAAAUGGGCACAUGGUGAUUGUGAUAGCUGAAGGAGCAGGACAGGAGCUACUUGCAGCAAAAAAUGAAGAGGAUGCUUCAGGGAACAGGCUACUUCAAGACGUUGGUUUGUGGAUUUCUCAAAAAAUCAAGGAUCAUUUUGCCAACGAACUUAAGAUGCUCCUUACACUAAAAUAUAUAGAUCCGACUUAUAUGAUUCGUGCUAUUCCAAGUAAUGCAUCUGAUAAUGUAUACUGCACUCUCCUUGCUCAAAGUGCUGUUCAUGGAGCAAUGGCAGGUUACACAGGCUUCACUACCGGACUUGUCAAUGGCCGGCAUACAUUUAUUCCCUUUAAUCGAAUUACUGAAAGGCAAAACGAGGUUGUCACAACUGACAGGAUGUGGGCAAGGCUUCUUUCAUCGACCAAUCAACCAAGCUUCAUCGGCCCUAAAGAAGCGUCUGAGAUCAGAAAACAGAAAACACCUGCAACCCAGUUACUGGAUGACGGGGAGGAUUGCACUGACUAGAGGGCAGGUAAUACAGAAACCAGCACGACAUGAAAUAAAAGCGCUUAAUCUCGGAUAUCUACCAUAAUGUCGGAUUAACCCGGUUAUGUAGGAACAUCCUUCAAGGUUACCAGUCUGAUUAGAUGCCUCAGCUGCGUGCAAUGACUUUAAUUUCAAGUUUUUUGAAUAAGAGAUGUGCAACCUAAAAUGUUUAAUGUAUUUGAUAGGGUUGAGAGGGAUUAUUAUUUGCAUCUUCCUUUCAGUGACACUUUUUAUCCAUGCAAUAAAUAGAUAUGAUGGGAAAUUAA